rnacentral:rRNA from 1 species
AUACGUAGGGUGCGAGCGUUGUCCGGAAUUACUGGGCGUAAAGAGCCCGUAGGUGGUUUGUCGCGUCGUCUGUGAAAUUCCGGGGCUUAACUCCGGGCGUGCAGGCGAUACGGGCAUAACUUGAGUACUGUAGGGGAGACUGGAAUUCCUGGUGUAGCGGUGAAAUGCGCAGAUAUCAGGAGGAACACCGGUGGCGAAGGCGGGUCUCUGGGCAGUAACUGACGCUGAGGAGCGAAAGCAUGGGUAGCGAACAGGAUUAGAUACCCUGGUAGUCCAUGCCGUAAACGGUGGGCGCUAGGUGUAGGGGUCUUCCACGACUUCUGUGCCGUAGCUAACGCAUUAAGCGCCCCGCCUGGGGAGUACGGCCGCAAGGCUAAAACUCAAAUGAAUUGACGGGG